UAACGGCUGAAUCAAACCUUAUCCCUCUUUCCUUUAAACCAAAAAGAAAACCCUAAUCCCUCAAAAGAAUCAGCCGCUCCUUUCUACACUCUCUCUACAAUUCCAUCUUUCUCUUUAUUUCUCGCUCUCCCAUAAACUGACCGUUGGCGGUAGACAAUCAAAUGUCGCUACCUCUACCGAUGCCGCUUGUAGCGAUGAAUUGUAAAAAACUCACCUGGAAUGAAAUGGUUUAGAUAUAAAGGGACAAUCAUAGGAAGACGGAAAUUAGCCAACUAUUUGAGUUUCCAAUGUUGUCUUCUUAAAUUUCUUGCUAGUGUGCAGUUAACGGGAUGGAUGCAGGAAACAACAAAAGAGAUUUGACAUUAAUAUCUUUCUGCUGAGUUAUAUUUCUCUAUUUCUAGACGUAUCUGUUGUAUAAGUGUUCACUAUUACAUAUCUUCAAAGAAGUUAUUAUUAAACUUUGGUUCCAUCCAUGUUUUUUAUUAUGCAGAUGCAGUGAUUCCAAUAACUUGCUUCAUAUUAGUCUGCCUCGUUACAUUACAAUGUUAUGGCACACAUCGAGUUGGUUUUUGUUUAGCACCAAUUGUGAUGAUCUGGUUAGUUUGCAUUAAUGCUCUUGGGUCAUACAACAUUAUCCAUUGGAAUCCACAGGUUUAUAAAGCUCUUUCCCCUAUUACAUGGUAAAGUUCCUGAAGAAAAUAAGAAAGGGAAGAUGGAUGUCUUUAGGUGGAAUUCUGCUCUGCAUAACUGCCAAGUGAUGCGGCUGGUGGACUCAUUUCGCCCAUGGAUGCAAGGAAACCGCAUCAUGAUAGUGAUCCUAAUGACAGUCGUUGAUUUUGUUGCAAAUUGUCUUGAAUAUUCAAUUAUGAUGAUGUAAUUGUGUGGUUGGAGUGAAUCUUAGAAUAUUGAAGGUUUUGUGUUUAAAUUUGAUUUUGAAAUUUGAAGAUACUAGUUAAUGUUGAAAAUUUGGAGUUUGAAGAUGCUAAUGUUGAAAAUUUAAUUUUGAAGUUUAAUGUUUAAUGUAUUUUUGAGAUGCUUGUGAA